UACAGAGGUCUCAAGCGUUGUUCGGAUUCAUUGGGCGUAAAGGGUGUGUAGGUGGCGCGCUAAGUCGGGUGUGAAAUUUCAGAGCUUAACUCCGAAACUGCAUUCGAUACUGGCGUGCUUGAGGACUGGAGAGGAGACUGGAAUUCAUGGUGUAGCAGUGAAAUGCGUAGAGAUCAUGAGGAAGACCAGUGGCGAAGGCGGGUCUCUGGACAGUUCCUGACACUGAGACACGAAGGCCAGGGGAGCAAACGGG
rnacentral:rRNA from 1 species